GGCUCGGUGGUGAAAUUGGCAGACACGCAAGACUUAGGAUCUUGUGCCGCAAGGCGUGUGGGUUCAAGUCCCUCCCGAGCCA
rnacentral:tRNA from 1 species